CAUCUUUUAAAAACCCUGAGCCAACAGCAUGGUAGUUCCUGCUGCUUUGGUGUGUGUGCCAGACUGGCCACUUUGGCCACACACAUGGGCCUCAGGCUAAGGCCUAGCUUUGAUGUAGCCAUCUUGGGCCUGCUUACAGGUAGCAUGGCCUUUAACCCUGUACUGCUCCCAGUGUAGGUCGUGCUGCUGUCUUGUCUUGUCUUGUGUUUUUGUUUUCUUUUGAUUUUGUGUUCACUUACUGUCUGU